AUUGAACGCUGGCGGCAUGCCUUACACAUGCAAGCCGAACAGUAACAGGUCUUCGGAUGCUGACGAGUGGCGAACAGGUGAGUAAUACAUCGGAACGUGCCUAGUAGUGGGGGAUAACUACUCGAAAGAGUGGCUAAUACCGCAUGAGAUCUACGGAUGAAAGCAGGGGAUCGCAAGACCUUGUGCUACUAGAGCGGCCGAUAGCAGAUUAGGUAGUUGGUGGGAUAAAAGCUUACCAAGCCGACGAUCUGUAGCUGGUCUGAGAGGACGAUCAGCCACACUGGGACUGAGACACGGCCCAGACUCCUACGGGAGGCAGCAGUGGGGAAUUUUGGACAAUGGGCGAAAGCCUGAUCCAGCAAUGCCGCGUGCAGGAUGAAGGCCUUCGGGUUGUAAACUGCUUUUGUACGGAACGAAAAGCCCCGGGUUAAUACCCUGGGGUCAUGACGGUACCGUAAGAAUAAGCACCGGCUAACUACGUGCCAGCCGCCGCCGUAA
rnacentral:rRNA from 1 species